rnacentral:rRNA from 1 species
CGCAAGAUUAAAACUCAAAUGAAUUGACGGGGGCCCGCACAAGCGGUGGAGCAUGUGGUUUAAUUCGAUGCAACGCGAAGAACCUUACCUACUCUUGACAUCCAGAGAACUUACCAGAGAUGCAUUGGUGCCUUCGGGAGCUCUGAGACAGGUGCUGCAUGGCUGUCGUCAGCUCGUGUUGUGAAAUGUUGGGUUAAGUCCCGCAACGAGCGCAACCCUUAUCCUUGUUUGCCAGCGAGUCAUGUCGGGAACUCCAGGGAGACUGCCGGUGAUAAACCGGAGGAAGGUGGGGACGACGUCAAGUCAUCAUGGCCCUUACGAGUAGGGCUACACACGUGCUACAAUGGCGCAUACAGAGGGCAGCCAACUCGCGAGAGUGAGCGAAUCCCAAAAAGUGCGUCGUAGUCCGGAUUGGAGUCUGCAACUCGACUCCAUGAAGUCGGAAUCGCUAGUAAUCGUAGAUCAGAAUGCUACGGUGAAUACGUUCCCGGGCCUUGUACACACCGCCCGUCACACCAUGGGAGUGGGCUGCAAAAGAAGUGGGUAGUUUAACCUUCGGGAGGACGCUCA